rnacentral:lncRNA from 11 species
AGACUGGGCAAGUGUAACCACAUUCCUCUACAACAGUCUGGAAAACAGCUCACCACAACAAGAAACACCGACCUUGAGACGGAGUGUUUGAGAGGGUGUUGUGUCUACGACGGCUGACUCACUGAAUGCCGUGCGAGAGUUGGAGAGAAGUCUGCAACUCGAGCUGGCUGCGAGAUUAGCUACCUGGAAACAGGAAGCAGAGGGUAGCCUAAUCAAAGUAACACACACCACUGAGUGGCGCGCCAGACGGAACUAGCUAUAGAGGGCCCUAUUGGAAUAGGUCACUUGCCGGAUGUAAACCUUGGCAGGGAACGAAAGCUAAUUAAAGUUGAUUAAAAGCAACGUACUGGAAGGAGCUUAAAUGAAGCUUAAAAGGAAGAAAGCUGGUGGAAUAAGUGCCAAUUUUGACAGAAUUGGAAACUAGACGUUGAAAGAGUCCAACAGCUGAAUUUCACGCUACUAAAUAUUGAAAGAUCAGAAAAGAACUCCAAGGGUAUGGUGGUGGGGACUAUCAAAGGAAUUCGAGCACAAAAGCUCUUAUGCCCUAACAAGCCUGGGACAAGUAUGCAAGUAUCAUUGAUAUAG